rnacentral:rRNA from 1 species
CCUACGGGUGGCAGCAGUGAGGAAUAUUGGUCAAUGGACGAGAGUCUGAACCAGCCAAGUCGCGUGAAGGAUGACUGCCCUAUGGGUUGUAAACUUCUUUUAUAUGGGAAUAAAAUGUUCCACGUGUGGGAUUUUGUAUGUACCAUAUGAAUAAGGAUCGGCUAACUCCGUGCCAGCAGCCGCGGUAAUACGGAGGAUCCGAGCGUUAUCCGGAUUUAUUGGGUUUAAAGGGAGCGUAGGUGGAUUGUUAAGUCAGUUGUGAAAGUUUGCGGCUCAACCGUAAAAUUGCAGUUGAAACUGGCAGUCUUGAGUACAGGAGAGGUGGGCGGAAUGCGUGGUGUAGCGGUGAAAUGCUUAGAUAUCACGAAGAACUCCGAUUGCGAAGGCAGUUCACUGGACUGCAACUGACACUGAGGCUCGAAAGUGUGGGUAUCAAACAGGAUUAGAUACCCCUGUAGUC